rnacentral:rRNA from 1 species
AUUGAACGCUGGCGGCAUGCUUUACACAUGCAAGUCGAACGGUAACAGGCCGCAAGGUGCUGACGAGUGGCGAACGGGUGAGUAAUGCAUCGGAACGUGCCCAGUCGUGGGGGAUAACUACUCGAAAGAGUAGCUAAUAUCCCAUACGAUCUAUGGAUGAAAGCGGGGGACCGUAAGGCCUCGCGCGAUUGGAGCGGCCGAUGUCAGAUUAGGUAGUUGGUGGGGUAAAGGCUCACCAAGCCAACGAUCUGUAGCUGGUCUGAGAGGACAACCAGCCACACUGGGACUGAGACACGGCCCAGACUCCUACGGGAGGCAGCAGUGGGGAAUUUUGGACAAUGGGCGCAAGCCUGAUCCAGCAAUGCCGCGUGCAGGAAGAAGGCCUUCGGGUUGUAAACUGCUUUUGUACGGAACGAAACGGCUCUGGUUAAUACCCGGGGCUAAUGACGGUACCGGAAGAAUAAGCACCGGCUAACUACGUG